UACGGAGGGUGCAAACGUUGUUCGGAUUUAUUGGGCGUAAAGCGCACGUAGGCGGUUGCGAAGGUCGGAUGUGAAACCCCUGGGCUUAACCUGGGAGGUGCAUUCGAAACCGUGCGACUGGAGUUUCGGAGGGAGAGGUGGAAUUCCUGGUGUAGGGGUGAAAUCCGUAGAUAUCAGGAGGAACACCGGUGGCGAAGGCGACCUCUUGGCCGCAGACUGACGCUGAGGUGCGAAAGCGUGGGGAGCAAACAGG
rnacentral:rRNA from 1 species